CGGAACAGGCGGGCCUUGAUCCCACAAAUACUAGUUAACAGCUAGUUACCCAAUCCAGCGGGCUUCCAUUCG
rnacentral:tRNA from 1 species